UACGUAGGGUGCAAGCGUUGUCCGGAAUUAUUGGGCGUAAAGAGCUUGUAGGCGGUUUGUCGCGUCUGCUGUGAAAUUUCGGGGCUCAACCCCGAACUUGCAGUGGGUACGGGCAGACUAGAGUGUGGUAGGGGAGACUGGAAUUCCUGGUGUAGCGGUGGAAUGCGCAGAUAUCAGGAGGAACACCGGUGGCGAAGGCGGAUCUCUGGGCCAUAACUGACGCUGAGGAGCGAAAGCAUGGGGAGCGAACAGG
rnacentral:rRNA from 1 species